GACGAACGCUGGCGGCGUGCCUAAUACAUGCAAGUCGAGCGAGCGGCGGACGGGUGAGUAUCACGUAAGGAACCUACCGAUAAGCGGGGGACAACAUCCGGAACCGGGUGCUAAUACCGCAUACUUAUCGAUGGCCUUUCGGGGCAUUAGCUCGUUGGUGGGGUAACGGCCUACCAAGGCAAUGAUGCAUAGCCGACCUGAGAGGGUAAUCCGCCACACUGGGACUGAGACACGACCCAAACACCUACGGGAGGCAGCAGUAGGGAAUCUUCCGCAAUGGGCGCAAGCCUGAUGGAGCAACGCCGCGUGAGUGAAUAAGGGGUUCGGAUCGUAAAGCUCUGUUGUAAGAGAAGCGGUAUCUUACCAGAAAGCCACGGCUAACUACGUGCCAGCCGCCGCGGUAAUUC
rnacentral:rRNA from 1 species